GGAGCUAUAUUUUAGUUACUUAGUGAUAUAGAUUCUGUUUUUGUUAUUUUUUUGCUGUUUAGUGCUAUAUAGGUUUAGCGAUAGGAUUAGUUAGCUUGGUUAGUUAGGUUAGUUAGUUAGUUAGUUAGCUUAAUAUAAAGAAGAGGAAGAAGAAGAAGAGGAGGAGGAGGAGCAGAGGAGAAGAGGAGGAGGACGAGGAGGAGGAGGAGGAGAAGAAGAAGAAGAAGAAGAAGAAGAAGAAGGAGAAGAAGAAGAAGAAGAAGAAUAGAAGACAAUAAUAAGGAGAAGAAGAAAAUAAGAAGAUAAGAAGAGAAUAAGAAGAGAAG
rnacentral:lncRNA from 1 species